rnacentral:rRNA from 1 species
UACGGUAGGGUCCGAGCGUUGUCCGGAAUUACUGGGCGUAAGAGCUCGUAGGUGGUUUGUCGUGUUGUCCGUGAAAACUCACAGCUCAACUGUGGGCGUGCGGGCGAUACGGGCAGACUGGAGUACUGCAGGGGAGACUGGAAUUCCUGGUGUAGCGGUGAAAUGCGCAGAUAUCAGGAGGAACACCGGUGGCGAAGGCGGGUCUCUGGGCCGUAACUGACGCUGAGGAGCGAAAGCGUGGGAGCGAACAGG